AUUGAACGCUGGCGGAAUGCUUUACACAUGCAAGUCGAGCGGCAGCACGGGGGCAACCCUGGUGGCGAGCGGCGAACGGGUGAGUAAUACAUCGGAACAUGCCCAGUCGUGGGGGAUAACACUUCGAAAGAAGUGCUAAUACCGCAUACGUCCUGAGGGAGAAAGCGGGGGAUCUUCGGACCUCGCGCGAUUGGAGUGGCCGAUGUCAGAUUAGCUAGUUGGUGGGGUAAAGGCCUACCAAGGCAACGAUCUGUAGCUGGUCUGAGAGGAUGAUCAGCCACACUGGGACUGAGACACGGCCCAGACUCCUACGGGAGGCAGCAGUGGGGAAUUUUGGACAAUGGGGGCAACCCUGAUCCAGCCAUCCCGCGUGAGUGAAGAAGGCCUUCGGGUUGUAAAGCUCUUUCGGCAGGAACGAAACGGCGAGCUCUAACAUAGCUUGCUAAUGACGGUACCUGAAGAAGAAGCACCAGCUAACUACGUGCCAGCAGCCGCGGUAACAC
rnacentral:rRNA from 1 species